rnacentral:rRNA from 1 species
AUGAACGCUGGCGGCGUGCCUAAUACAUGCAAGUCGAGCGAACAGACGAGGAGCUUGCUCCUCUGACGUUAGCGGCGGACGGGUGAGUAACACGUGGAUAACCUACCUAUAAGACUGGGAUAACUUCGGGAAACCGGAGCUAAUACCGGAUAAUAUAUUGCACCGCAUGGUUCCAUAGUGAAAGACGGUUUUGCUGUCAUUUAUAGAUGGAUCCGCGCCGCAUUAGCUAGUUGGUAAGGUAACGGCUUACCAAGGCAACGAUGCGUAGCCGACCUGAGAGGGUGAUCGGCCACACUGGAACUGAGACACGGUCCAGACUCCUACGGGAGGCAGCAGUAGGGAAUCUUCCGCAAUGGGCGAAAGCUUGACGGAGCAACGCCGCGUGAGUGAUGAAGGUCUUCGGAUCGUAAAACUCUGUUAUUAGGGAAGAACAAAUGUGUAAGUAACUAUGCACGUCUUGACGGUACCUAAUCAGAAAGCCACGGCUAACUACGUG